rnacentral:rRNA from 1 species
GAUCAUGGCUCAGAUUGAACGCUGGCGGAAUGCUUUACACAUGCAAGUCGAACGGUAGAGGGGGCAACCCCUCGAGAGUGGCGAACGGGUGAGUAAUAUAUCGGAACGUGCCCAGUCGUGGGGGAUAACGUAGCGAAAGUUACGCUAAUACCGCAUACGAUCUAAGGAUGAAAGCGGGGGACCGUAAGGCCUCGCGCGAUUGGAGCGGCCGAUAUCAGAUUAGGUAGUUGGUGGGGUAAAGGCUCACCAAGCCAACGAUCUGUAGCUGGUCUGAGAGGACGACCAGCCACACUGGAACUGAGACACGGUCCAGACUCCUACGGGAGGCAGCAGUGGGGAAUUUUGGACAAUGGACGCAAGUCUGAUCCAGCCAUUCCGCGUGCAGGAUGAAGGCCCUCGGGUUGUAAACUGCUUUUGUACGGAACGAAAAGGUUUCUCUUAAUACGAGGAGCUCAUGACGGUACCGUAAGAAUAAGCACCGGCUAACUACGUG